CAGGUGUAACGUCUAACAUCAUCACCUGUGACAUUCUUCAUAACCAGAGAACAUCUCUCUGUAACACUCAGUCUGUCUGACUUAGCUUUGGGAAUCCCAUCUUUAAUCUUUUCAUGCUCUAUCAGCUCUACUACUGCUUCCCCAUUACGACUAAAAAGCCAAGUAGUUUGGUCACAGUUGUCCUGAAUUAU